UACGUAGGCAGCAAGCGUUGUUCGGAGUUACUGGGCGUAAAGGGUGCGUAGGCGGUUGUUUUAAGUUUGGUGUGAAAUCUCCCGGCUCAACUGGGAGGGUGCGCCGAAUACUGAAUGACUUGGAGUGCGGGAGAGGAGAGUGGAAUUCCUGGUGUAGCGGUGAAAUGCGUAGAUAUCUGGAGGAACACCGGUGGCGAAGGCGGCUCACUGGCUCAUUUCUGACGCUCAGGCGCGACAGCGUGGGGAUCAAACAGG
rnacentral:rRNA from 1 species